rnacentral:rRNA from 1 species
UACGUAGGGUGCAAGCGUUGUCCGGAAUUAUUGGGCGUAAAGAGCUCGUAGGCGGUCUGUCGCGUCUGCUGUGAAAACUCGGGGCUUAACCCCGGGCCUGCAGUGGGUACGGGCAGACUAGAGUGCGGUAGGGGAGACUGGAAUUCCUGGUGUAGCGGUGAAAUGCGCAGAUAUCAGGAGGAACACCGGUGGCGAAGGCGGGUCUCUGGGCCUUACCUGACGCUGAGGAGCGAAAGCGUGGGGAGCAAACAGG